rnacentral:ncRNA from 1 species
AAAGUGCAACACGGGAGUCCCGGGUUCGUGGGGCUGAGAGGGGCGCGCGCCGCGCCCGACCGUCUGACCUGACCCGGAUCAUGCCGGCGCAGGAAGUGGAGGUGGUUCUCGU